rnacentral:lncRNA from 1 species
AGCCCUUUGCAGGACGUGCAACAGGGUUGUGGCUCGUGUGUUCGGUCUCUGCCUGCUGAAACCCCUUAUGGGAGGUGGAGCAUGCAGACGGACGGGUGCAGGAGCCAGGGUGCAAAAGCUGGGGCGCUGGGCUUCCAGCCCCACGGCAGUGUCCAGGGGCAGGAUCCCGUGAUUCCCGGAGCCCAAAUGGGCGUGUGUUACAGUGUGCUCUUUUAGCCUUACCAUCAGCUGACGGCUUAAGUGUUAACCAGCUCAAUAGACCCUCUGCCUUUUUGCAAGCGCAGAGGGUCAGUGUGACAGUUUCUGUAUCUCAGCUCUUGUCUCACCUCCCAGAAGAAUCAGGUCACACAUGGACUUGAAGGAUGAACACCAGAGACUGGGUAAUUAAUAAAAAGAAGAAAUUGAUCUGGCCUACAGUUCUGGAGCCUUGGAAGUCCGAGAUCAAGGAGCUGCAUCUGAUAAAUACCUGGAGUGGGAUUGCUAGAUCACAUGGAAAACACAGAUCCUGGUGCCGAACAUGAGGACAGGGCAGGCCGAAGGAGAAAGUG